AGCUUUGUGCAGUGACAGUAUCAUUGUCAAUAAGGGUUAUCUUAGUACAUGAUGAUUGCUAAUUGAAAAAUGAUGCCCCGCAAUAGUUUUUAAAUGAAGUUGCAGCUU
rnacentral:snRNA from 1 species